rnacentral:rRNA from 1 species
UACCAGCACCCCGAGUGGUCGGGACGUUUAUUGGGCCUAAAGCAUCCGUAGCCGGUUCUACAAGUCUUCCGUUAAAUCCAACUGCUUAACAGGUGGGCUGCGGAAGAUACUAUAGAGCUAGGAGGCGGGAGAGGCAAGCGGUACUCGAUGGGUAGGGGUAAAAUCCGUUGAUCCAUUGAAGACCACCAGUGGCGAAGGCGGCUUGCCAGAACGCGCUCGACGGUGAGGGAUGAAAGCUGGGGAGCAAACGGG